rnacentral:misc_RNA from 1 species
UUUCCGUAGGUGAACCUGCGGAAGGAUCAUUAUUGAAUGAACUUGGUGUGGUUGUGCUGGCCCUCUCGGGGGCAUGUGCUCACUCGCCAUUCUCAUCUCUCCACCUGUGCACCUCUUGUAGACUUGGACUUGACUUUCCGAGGGAACUCGGUCGGGAGGACUGCUGGCAAUUCAGCUGGCUGUCCUUGCAUUUCCAAGCCUACGUUUUUCAUAUACCCCAUUGUAUGUAACAGAAUGUAUCAUUAGGCCCUUGUGCCUAUAAAACUUAUACAACUUUCAGCAACGGAUCUCUUGGCUCUC